UACAGAGGGGGCAAGCGUUGUCCGGAUUUACUGGGCGUAAAGGAUGCGUAGGCGGAUACUUAAGUCAGAUGUGAAAAUCCCGGGCUUAACUUGGGAACUGCAUUUGAAACUGGGUAUCUAGAGUGCGGGAGAGGAGAGUGGAAUUCCUGGUGUAGCGGUGAAAUGCGCAGAUAUCAGGAAGAACACCCGUGGCUAAGGCGGCUCUCUAGUACGGUACUGACGCUGAGACGCGAAAGCGUGGGGAGCGAACAGG
rnacentral:rRNA from 1 species